ensembl:lncRNA
GGGUAAACUGUUCUCGGUAGAACCAGCUCAGGUGAUGUCCACAGGUGGUGUGAUUUUUUUUUUUUUUAAUCCAUCAUUCAAAAACAAAGGCAGUCCUGAGUGAAGGCGGAGCCUGUGCCGCAUUCCGACCACGACCACGCUCUGGGGCCAGGCUUCCUGGAUCUGAGCACAGGCUUCUCUGCUGGCUCGCCGUGCUGUCUUAGACGAGUUACGCAGAUUCUCCGUGUCUCGUCCCUGAGUAGAAGAGCGUCUUGCCAAGACCUGUGAGAAGACAAACACAGACGGAAGCGAGGCACCCACAGGUUCUCGAAUGCCAGGCGCUUGGAGCAAGACAAGGA